rnacentral:rRNA from 1 species
AGGCAGCAGUGGGGAAUAUUGCACAAUGGGGGAAACCCUGAUGCAGCGACGCCGCGUGAAGGAAGAAGUAUCUCGGUAUGUAAACUUCUAUCAGCAGGGAAGAAAAUGACAGUACCUGACUAAGAAGCCCCGGCUAAUUACGUGCCAGCAGCCGCGGUAAUACGUAGGGGGCAAGCGUUAUCCUGAUUUACUGGGUGUAAAGGGAGCGUAGACGGAGCAGCAAGUCUGAUGUGAAAGGCAGGGGCUCAACCCCUGGACUGCAUUGGAAACUGUUGAUCUUGAGUACCGGAGAGGUAAGCGGAAUUCCUAGUGUAGCGGUGAAAUGCGUAGAUAUUAGGAGGAACACCAGUGGCGAAGGCGGCUUACUGGACGGUAACUGACGUUGAGGCUCGAAAGCGUGGGGAGCAAACAGGAUUCGAUACCCUGGUAGUCCACGCCGUAGACGACGAAUAAUGGGUGUCGAGGGGCAGAGCCCAUUCGGUGCCGCAGCAAACGCAGUAAGUAUUCCACUUGGGGAGUACGUUCGCAAGAAGAAAACUCAAAGGAAUUGACGGGGACCCGCACAAGCGGUGGAGCAUGUGGUUUAAUUCGAAGCAACGCGAAGAACCUUACCAAGUCUUGACAUCCCGAUGACCGGCACGUAACGGUGCCUUCUCUUCGGAGCAUCGGAGACAGGUGGUGCAUGGUUGUCGUCAGCUCGUGUCGUGAGAUGUUGGGUUAAGUCCCGCAACGAGCGCAACCCCUAUCCUUAGUAGCCAGCGGUUUGGCCGGGCACUCUGAGGAGACUGCCAGGGAUAACCUGGAGGAAGGCGGGGAUGACGUCAAAUCAUCAUGCCCCUUAUGAUUUGGGCUACACACGUGCUACAAUGGCGUAAACAAAGGGAAGCGAGAGUGUGAGCUUAAGCAAAUCCCAAAAAUAACGUCCCAGUUCGGACUGCAGUCUGCAACUCGACUGCACGAAGCUGGAAUCGCUAGUAAUCGCGGAUCAGAAUGCCGCGGUGAAUACGUUCCCGGGUCUUGCACA